ACAAACUUGGUCAUUUAGAGGAAGUAAAAGUCGUAACAAGGUUUCCGUAGGUGAACCUGCGGAAGGAUCAUUAAAGGAUGGUCAACGGGAUGUGCUGGCGGCCUAACGCCGCAUGUGCACUCCCUUAACUAACCCACACACCUGUGAACCUUGGACCUUGCCUGCCCCCUCUGGAGGUGGGCUUGUGUUCUUACCAUACAAAAUCCAAUUGAUUUGACUCUGGAAUGCGUGUUGUAAUCUAAAACAACCAUCAGCAACGGAUCUCUUGGCAUCCCAAUCGAUGAAGAACGCAGC
rnacentral:misc_RNA from 1 species